rnacentral:lncRNA from 7 species
GGCUUGCUCACCGCCGGUGACCUCUCUGCGCCAAAAUUAGUGCCACCGCCGUCCUGAUUCAUGGGCGGUAUGGUGUGGAUAACGUCGGGGAAGAAUAGCUCGUACGUGGCACCAUCCCCUGAGCUCGGCCGAAGUUACUCACCGGCGGCCGCCGUGACUCAGUGAAAUUCCGCCGCGGUGGCGCGCAUGCCGUAGUUCUCCCUCCCUGUACCUUUUACCGACGUGGUCGACAUGCCAUAGUGAUGUUAUCCUCGGCCGUGAGGUGACCACCGGGCCGGCGCGGCUAUAAAUAGCCCAUGCUCCGCGGCGAGGUAUGAGCAUCGCGCACACCGUAGGUUGAACCGAAGCAGAAAUUCGUGCUGCCUCUGCCCCCUCCUCCCAAAUUGGUUGUGUGCAGCAAAACUAGAACCCCUUAUAGCCGUAUAGCCCCAAAGCCCCGCCCUCAAUUCCACCCGUGAACGCUGCGGCGCCAUUUUCCCCUAAAUCGGUCCGCCGCCCCGUGAAGAACAGCCCGUCCGUGGCCGAACCGCUCUGGUAAGGCUCUGCCUAAAUUGAGUGUUGUUUCUACAACUCCAUAAGCUUGUGAUGCUCACCGUGACGCCCGGCUACUCAAUCCGGCCCCGGAUGAGCGGGAACGUUUGCCCAUGAUCACGGUUUCCGCCGUGCACAUGGACAAGCCGUUCUCAAGGUGUUCGUGCCAAAUUGUUGGGUGUUCCGAGGUCCCUGUUAGUCGCUAAUGCCUCCCCAGUAGUUGGCCGUAGCCGCCGUUGCC